GUGAGGGUGAAGACGAGGUGGGCGGCCUCGGUGGCUGAGGCGGAGGGGUGAAGACGAGGUGGGCGACCUCGGUGGCUGAGGCUGAGCUGUGAGGGUGAAGAUGAGGUGGGCGGCCUCGGUGGCUGAGGCUGAGCUGUGAGGGUGAAGACGAGGUGGGCGGCCUCGGUGGCUGUGGCUGAGGCUGAGCUGUGAGGGUGAAGAUGAGGUGGGCGGCCUCGGUGGCUGAGGCGGAG
rnacentral:lncRNA from 1 species